GACGAACGCUGUCGGCGCGCCUAACACAUGCAAGUCGAACGGAGCUAAUCGCUGUGAAGCCCUUCGGGGCGGAACUUGAUUAACUUAGUGGCCGACGGGUGAGUAACGCGUGAGUAACCUGCCUUUCAGAGGGGGAUAACGUUUGGAAACGAACGCUAAUACCGCAUAACGUUUUCAUAUCGCAUGGUAAAAACACCAAAGGAGCAAUCCGAUGAGAGAUGGACUCGCGUCCAAUUAGCUAGUUGGUGAGGUAACGGCUCACCAAGGCGACGACUGGUAGCCGGACUGAGAGGUUGAACGGCCACAUUGGGACUGAGACACGGCCCAGACUCCUACGGGAGGCAGCAGUGGGGAAUAUUGCACAAUGGGGGAAACCCUGAUGCAGCGACGCCGAGUGAGGGAAGAAGGUUUUCGGAUUGUAAACCUCUGUCCUUGGUGAAGAAACAAGACGGUAGCCAAGGAGGAAGCUACGGCUAACUACGUGCCAGCCGCCGCCGU
rnacentral:rRNA from 1 species